AAAAUUAACUCACUUGGUCAUUCAUGUACAUUUGAAUAUCACUGCAGCAGCUGACAAUGUAGAACAAUCUUAACAAUAUGUAAGCUAAUUAACUGAAGGAAUAAAAAGGUUUCUACAUGUUUUUACAUUUAAACAUUUUUUUGAAAAUAUUUUCAGCCUAUUUUUCUAUUUUUCUAUUCGGUGUGCACAGUCUCAGCCUUGCUCUUUUUAUAUACCUUUAAAACAUGCUAAAGCUUCCAGGAAAGCUAAAUGAAAUAAAGCAAUUCUUGGAAUAACAAAGUUCUCAAAAUAGAAUCAGUUUGUCUGUUGCGACUUGCUAUAUCAUUAAAUGUUUUUAAAAAAUGCUGGUGCCACCAAGUGGUUAAAUUGCAUACUGCUUUUUCAAUCAGCUGCACAGUUUUGAUCCAGCAUGAUUAAAACCGAAUUAAAAUAAUUGAAAAACAAAUAUUGUUUAUAAAAAACUUGAUGCAAAUAGAAAAGCCAUUGCAAACACUGCAUUAUGGAAGAAAAGAUAAAAUGUUAUUCACAGAAGUCAAAAAUGGGGUAUGUUUACACUAUGUUAAGACUGUACUAGCAUAGCUAGGCCGGGAUAGCCCUGUAGAGUAGACACAGCCUACACCAACAGAAGAGGUUUUUCUGUUGGUGUAGAGACGUCUCUGUGAACAAAGCUAGCUACAUCAAAAGAAGACUAUUUGGGUCAACAUAGCUGUGUGUAUGCUGGGGGUUAUGUCAGUAUAGAUAUGUCAGUUGAGGUAUGUUUUUUUACAACCCUGAAGCUAUGCUGAUACUACGUUUCAGAUUAGACCAGGCUUUAGAAUGGGAUGGUCGAGGAUUAUAUGUUCUCUGUUUUUUUGGAGUGGGGAGUAAAUCUUAAGUAGUUGGAAAUCUAGCAUAAGGUCUAUAGAAUAUUUCCAAAGAAUCAGUGUCGAAAUUAGAGAGCCAGCAAAACCAACACAUACCGGUAUCUGUUGAAUUUAUGUAUGCUGUCUAUGCUGUAUAUAUUUCUGAGAUUGUGAUAUAGUUCUGAAAUACAUUUUCAAACAACAUACUGAUGUUGU